GUUACUGUUGAUGUUCCUGACAUUCGAGGAAGAACAGAGAUAUUAAAGGUUCACGGUAGCAACAAGAAGUUUGAUGCAGAUGUGUCUCUUGAUGUGAUAGCCAUGAGAACACCUGGGUUCAGUGGUGCUGACCUUGCAAACCUCUUAAAUGAGGCUGCUAUAUUGGCUGGACGACGUGGGAAAGCUGCUAUUUCAUCUAAAGAGAUUGAUGAUUCGAUUGAUAGGAUUGUGGCUGGAAUGGAAGGAACUGUCAUGACAGAUGGGAAGAGUAAAAGUCUUGUUGCAUACCAUGAAGUUGGCCACGCAAUAUGCGGGUAAGUAGGAUUAUUUUUAUUUAUUUGUCUUUUAUGAAAUUUACCAGAUGAAUUAUAAUAAGGCCUUUGAUUAAUCUUCAGUUUAAGCCGAUCCAUAGUUUUAGCCUGCGAAAGUUUUAUGCUAUUUUGUUAGAUAUAAUGGUAUAUAAUUGAUGGAAAUCAUCUCAAUGAACUCACCAUUUGGCACAACUAAGGUGCCUUGAUUGUGUUAUUUAUGUGAUAGUGGUUAGUUAAAUUGGUGGUCAAUGAAUUUUUUGAAUCUCUAAGGAAGAGUCUAAAAAUUAUAUUUUCUACUAAACCUGACUAUAGUUAAUAGUAUGAAACUUGUAUAAAUAUGAGAUAAAGUUUUCCAAUUAAAAUAUGAUUUUGGUUACUGCUUGGUGGAAGUUUUGGAUGGUAGACUAGCAAAUCCUUUACUUUGAUAAGAAGUUUUGGAUGGUUGGUUACAGAACCUUUGCUUUGAUGAAGGUAGCAUCUAGCCUGAAUUCCUGGUCAAACAUACAAAAAACUGCCAGUUAGGCUGAAAAGCAUUGUCAUGAUACCAAUGGGAGUACAUGUUCAUGUUUAAAAGUUUAAGCUUGCAUCAUAUAUACAAUGCAGUAAGUUGAAGCUAGACUAGACUAUGUACUACUUUUAGAGUCAUCUUAUAAGAAUCUGGGUAGAUUUGCUAAUGCAGCAUUCUUAUUUUGGCAAGCACUCUUUGUAAGCACAGUAAAGUUUGCUACAGGAAUGUAAGCAGGACUUUACGAGCAAUCCAUCAAUCUCCUCUUACCCUUCUCCAUUCCUCUGUUUUCAUCUAUAAUUGAUUUUUUUUCUUCCAUCUGUUCUUCUUUUCCUGAGGUUCAUCUUUUAGGCUUUGUUAGAUGUCUGUUUUGCUACUAUCUAGUUGUUUUAAGAACUUAUGGAAUUGUUUUACUUUCUUUUGGUUCCAGAACUUUGACUCCAGGACACGAUCCCGUUCAAAAAGUCACCCUUGUUCCACGUGGUCAGGCAAGAGGUCUUACCUGGUUCAUCCCUUCAGAUGACCCCACCUUGAUAUCGAAGCAGCAGCUCUUUGCAAGAAUUGUUGGUGGACUCGGUGGUAGAGCUGCUGAGGAAGUGAUUUUUGGAGAGCCUGAAGUGACAACAGGAGCAGCUGGUGAUUUGCAGCAGAUCACUGGUUUGGCCAAACAGGUAAUUUAAUAAUCCUAUUUUUGCCUUCUCCUUCAAUUAUUCCUCCAACAAUUUUCAAUAAAAUUUAGGCACAUUAUUUUUUUUUCUUUUUGCAGAUGGUAACCACAUUUGGAAUGUCUGAAAUUGGCCCAUGGUCGCUCAUGGACGGAUCACAAAGUGGUGAUGUCAUCAUGAGAAUGAUGGCAAGGAACUCAAUGUCUGAGAAGCUUGCUGAAGACAUUGAUGCUGCAGUCAAGAGACUAUCAGACCGUGCCUAUGAGAUUGCGUUGAGCCAAAUAAGGAACAACCGUGAAGCCAUUGACAAGAUCGUGGAAGUUCUUCUUGAGAAGGAAACAAUGUCAGGGGAUGAAUUCCGGGCAAUCCUCUCAGAGUUUGUCGAAAUCCCAGCUGAAAAUAGGGUCCCUCCAGCUGUUCCAGCACCAUUAUCUGUAUCUGUUUGAGUGGCAUUAAUAUUAUCCAUACUUGAAAUUUCAGCCACUCUUUGAACGCAUACACUUGAAUGUAUAAUAUAUGUGUUCUUGAUCAAAUGUAAGUAGGAUUGUACACUAACUCAAAAAGUCACGAUUGAGUAAAUUUCUAAAGUUUUGCUCCUGAUUUUUGAAGCAUAAAAUCUCAGCGUUAGCCACAGGUGCAGACUAAUUAUCGUUAUAAGUUUCGGAAUCAUACGAAAUCAGCUCAACUUAAAAACAGUAUCAGUACAUGUCUGGCCUUCGUUUUUUCUCCAAGACUGCCACGGAAGUUGUCGCAAAUUUCAUUGACUCAACAGAAGAAUUUAUCAACUUAUGCUCAAAAGGACACAUAAAGGAAGCCUUCAACAGAUUCAAAUCUGAAAUAUGGUCAGACCCAACUCUCUUCUCUCAUCUAAUCCAAUCAUGCACGCUCAAAAAAUCACUUUCAUGUUCAAAACAGCUUCACUCUUUGAUAGUCACAUCUGGGUGUUCCUCAAACAAUUUCAUUUGCAAUCACUUGCUCAACAUGUACUCAAAAAUUGGGCAAUUACAAACAGCUGUUACCCUGUUUGGUCUCAUGCCGAGGAGAAAUAUCAUGUCUUGUAACAUUAUGAUCAAUGCGAAUGUGCAGAGCGGUGAUUUGGAGAGUGCACGGAAAGUGUUUGAUGGGAUGACUAAGAGAAAUAUUGCAACCUGGAAUGCGAUGGUUGCGGGAUUGGUUCAGUUUGAGUUCAAUGAGGAGGGUUUGAGAUUACUAAGUGAAAUGCAUCAAGUUGGUUUUUUGCCUGAUGAGUUUACUUUAGGUAGUGUUUUGAGGGGGUGUGCUGGUUUGAGAGGGUUAGAUGCUGGGAGGCAAAUUCAUUGUUAUGUAAUGAAAGGUGGGUUUGAGCUGGAUUUGGUUGUUGGGAGUUCAUUGGCUCAUAUGUAUAUGAAAAGUGGAAGCUUGGUAGAAGGAGAGAAGGUGAUUAGAUUGAUGCCUAUCCGCAAUGUGAUUGCUUGGAACACACUCAUUGCCGGAAAAGCUCAAAAUGGGCUUGCUGAGGAUGUUUUGGAUCAAUAUAAUUUGAUGAGAAUGGUAGGAUUUAGGCCUGACAAGAUUACGUUUGUGAGUGUGGUUAGUUCAUGUUCAGAAUUGGCAACAUUAGGUCAAGGUCAGCAGAUUCAUGCUGAAGUGGUUAAAGCUGGGGCUAGUUUGGAUGUUGGGGUGAUUAGUUCGUUAAUUAGCAUGUAUUCAAGGUGCGGUUGUUUGGAUGAUUCAAUGAAAGCCUUUCUGGAAUGUGAAUAUUCUGAUGUUGUUUUGUGGAGCUCGAUGAUUGCUGCUUAUGGAUUUCAUGGAAAAGGAGAGGAAGCUAUCAAUUUGUUUGAGCAGAUGGAGCAGAAAGAAUUCGAGGCAAAUGAUGUUACUUUUGUGAGCUUGCUGUAUGCUUGCAGUCAUUGUGGUCUGAAGGAAAAAGGGAUGGAAUUCUUUAAUUUGAUGGUAAAGAAGUAUGGUCUGAAGCCUAGAUUAGAACAUUAUACAUGUGUGGUUGACCUACUUGGCCGUUGUGGUUGUUUAGAUGAAGCAGAGGCUCUGAUAAGAAACAUGCCUGUCAAAGCCGAUACUAUCAUAUGGAAAACUUUGUUAUCUGCUUGUAAAAUCCAUAAGAGUACUGAUAUGGCUGGAAGAAUCGCUGAAGAAGUUCUUAAGCUUAAUCCUCGGGAUGCGGCUCCUUAUGUGUUGUUUUCUAACAUUCAUGCUUCUGCUAAGAGGUGGCAGGGUGUUUCCGAGUUGAGAGAGGCCAUGAGAGAGAGGAAUGUGAAGAAGGAACCAGGUGUAAGCUGGUUAGAAAUAAAGAAUCAAGUUCAUCAGUUUACCAUGGGCGACAAAUCUCAUCCAAGUUCGAUGGAGAUUGAUUUGUAUUUGGAAGAACUAACAUCAGAGAUGAAGCUACGGGGCUAUGUCCCUGAUACGGGCGCUGAUAUGCAUGACAUGGACAAUGAGGAAAAGGAAUAUAAUUUGAAACACCAUAGUGAAAAGCUUGCAAUUGCGUUUGCUCUGAUGAACACACCCACGGGUGUACCAAUAAGGGUGAUGAAGAACUUGCGCGUCUGCAGUGAUUGCCAUGUUGCUAUUAAGUACAUUUCAGAAAUUAAAAACAGAGAAAUUAUUGUUCGAGAUGCCAGUAGAUUUCAUCAUUUCAGAAAUGGGAAAUGCUCUUGUGGAGAUUACUGGUAAGAAGAUGACUCUUUGCUCUCAUAGUUGUAAACUCUACUUCCAAAAGAUUGGUUUUGUAAACUUUAAAUCAAAAAGGAAAUAAAAGAGUAUUCAUACUUCUUUGAUUACCAAUUUCAAGCUGAAUUAGGAAAAGUCCUUUUCUUUUCUUUGUGAUGUUUUUCCAUAUCCAGAAAAUUGAUUAUGAAAUUUACAAACAUACUUAAUUUGUUUUGAAUUAUUAAAUUUAGUCAAAUAUAAGAAUCGGGUUUAGACCAGUUCUAUUACACGGCAGACCGAAUGUUUGAACUCAUUUAGAGCGGUCUAAGCAUUUUUUUAAAUAAUAGUUUGACUCAAAUAAUAAUUUAUUUAGAUUAUGCCCAAAAGCUGUGAAGAAAAUAAGGCUGUAGGUUGUCUUCAAUCUUAAAAUGUUAAUUGACCUGUUAGGCCAAGCAUGCAUGGGAAAGUCUGAUAUCAGUUUCAGUUGCUUUCUAGAUUUUACUUUUAUAUGUUUGCUUUUGUGGAAGUCAUAAACGCUUCGUCAAAGUCUCAAAGACGUGUUGGACAAUAAUUAUAGCUGGCAAAUGGCAAUCACGACUCUUCCAAGAAAUAAUCAUGAAAGGAUACAAAUUUAAUAUUGAAUAAGUCUUCCAUUAAAUUAAAUGUAACUUGAAAGAUUGUCUACUUAGUAUUCCCUGAUUGUAUGAAUCCUUAAGAUGAUAUGCAUAUAUUAUGUCCAUUUUUUAGUGUGUGAUGUUGCUCAUGUGAGAUAUUAAUACGCGAACACGUCGUUUGCGUAUUAAAUUUAGUAUUUAAGCACUAUCAUUCACUAGUUAUUGUGUGUUCAUCGCACGCGCACGCACACACAAGAUGCAUCGAUGCACACUAUUAGGAGACAAUUUGUGUUAGAUCGACAAUUUCCCAAUGUUUUACCGCCACAAAUUUUGUGUUACACUUCAUAAUAAAUAUAUGUUAAAUUGAGUAACGUUACACCUUUUCAAGUUUUGUGUUAUACUUCACAAAAUGGUCAUUCUAAUUCCAUGUGAUAUUUCUCAACAUUUUUAUCACAUGUCGUACAACGAAAACAAAAAUCACAGCAAAGUUGGAGCCGAAAGAACAUACUGAGACAUGAAUAUACUUUUCCAUGAAUCAUCGAAUAGAGACGAAUGAUAUUUAUGUAGCUUGCUUGACUUAAAAUGUCUUCGUGACCCUUUUUUCUCAUCUCUCUCACCCAAUUCCAAACACACAGAUCAUGGCUAGCUGCAGCCUCCGCUGCUUGUUUCCCAUUCUCUCCGUUCUUAUUAGCUUACACAUCAUCCCAACUUCGGCUGCAACAACGGGAAAUUGUUCCGUAAGGGCCAGCAACAUUUACUGUUUGGAUUCAGGCCUUCCCUCUACAUGGUACAACAACAACUCUGUCAUCAUGAAUGGAUGGCAGAUGAGAGUAUUCCUCUUAUUACAGGACGCCGGUGAUUUUGAUUUUUAUUGUGGGUUUUACUGCAAUGGCACCUGCAACUCUUAUGUUUUUUCAGUUGUUGCCGUUAGAGAAAACGAUCACAGAGUGGUCUGGUCAGCUAACAAAGACCGCCCGGUAAAAGCAAACGCGAUGGUGCAGCUAAAGACGGACGGUUUGGUGCUGAGAGAUUCGGAUGGCACCCAGAUAUGGGCGAGCAACCACUCAGGUAACUCCGUUCACUGGAUGAACCUUGACCCGGAUGGAAAUCUUUCUCUCUUUAACAAUGAAAGCAAAAUAAUUUGGAAAUCCUCAGCAGAAAAGAUAUCACUGAGUCCACCAAAUCCCUCCAUCACUCCAAACGGAACAUUAACACCAGAAGGAAAAGCACCACCACCUGUAACGGGCAUAGCACCAACAGAAGAGAACAUGCCAAAAUCACCCAAAAAAAGAGGAACAAAAUUGGUGGUGGUAGCAGGAGGAUCAACCGCUGGUGGGCUUCUGAUUCCCUACAUCACUCCAAACGGAACAUUAACACCAGAAGGAAAUGCAGCCUACAUCACUCCAACAUACAUCACUCCAACAAACCGAACAUCAACACCAGACGGAAAUGCACCCUACAUCUCUCCAACAUACAUCACUCCAACAAACGGAACAUCAACACCAGAAGGAAAUGCACCCUAUAUCACUCCAACAUUCAUCACUCCAACAAACGGAACAUCAACACCAGAAGGAAAUGUACCCUACAUCACUCCAACAAACGGAACAUUAGCACCAGAAGGAAAUGCACCACCACCUGCGACAGGCAUAGCACCAACAGAAGAGAACAGGCCAAAAUCACCCAAAAAAGGACGAACAAAAUUGGUGGCGGUAGUAGCAGGAUCAACCGCUGGUGGGCUUCUGAUUAUCUGUAUUGUAAUUGUGUUGUAUAUUGUGAAAGUUCGGAGGAACGUAGGGGAGGAGGAACAUUUGGAAGAUGACAUGAAACAAGUUCCUGGAUUACCUGUGAGGUUUUCAUAUGAAGAUUUACAGAUUGCGACAGAAGAUUUUAAAGAGAGAAUUGGAGGAGGGGGGUUUGGAACUGUGUUCAAGGGGGUUUUAAAAGACGGCAGUAAAAUUGCUGUAAAGCGUCUGGAUAGAAUGGAGCAGGGGAUGAGGGAGUUCGUAGCAGAAGUUGAGACCAUCGGUAGCUUGCAUCAUUUCAAUCUUGUGAGAUUGAUUGGCUUUUGCGUAGAGAAAUCCUGCAGGCUUCUUGUUUAUGAGUACAUGAGCAAUGGCUCCUUGGAAAAAUGGAUUUUUGUCAGAGAUCCGAGACCUUGUCUUGACUGGCAAACUAGGAAGAAAAUAAUACUUGAUGUAGCCAAAGGAUUGACUUAUCUGCAUGAAGAUUGCCGGAGAAGAGUGGCACAUCUUGAUAUAAAGCCACAAAAUAUUCUCUUGGACGAAAAUUUCAAUGCCAAGGUUUCUGAUUUUGGGUUGGCUCAGCUAAUCGAGAGAGACGAGAGCCUAGUGCAGGCAACAAUGAGAGGAACUCCAGGAUACAUUGCUCCGGAAUGGAGGAAAUCAAAAAUCAGUGUCAAAGUUGACAUAUAUAGCUUUGGAAUUGUACUUCUUGAAGUGGUCAGUGCUCGGAGAAACUUAGAUCGUUCGCGAUCAGAAUCUAGCUGCCAUCUCCUCAGACUGCUGCAGGAGAAGGCCAAGGAGGACAGACUGUUUGACAUCGUGGAAAGUUUCGGCGAAGAGGUGGAAAAUCAUAUGGAUGAAAUGAUAAGAAUGAUUAAGAUUGGAGCCUGGUGUUUGCAGAAUGAUCCCGGAAAACGGCCGUCAAUGUCAACCGUGGUGAAGGUGUUGGAAGGAGUAAUGGAAGUAGAUGCAAACGUCAAUUACAAAUUUGCACAAGCAAUGCCAUAUGUUUCCAUUGUCAAUAGUGAUCAUGUCUCCUCCAGGCCAACAGAAUCUGUUCUUUCUAAUCCUAGAUGAACAUUCAUUUUCAGGCACGUUCAUCAUUGAGAUUUGAGUGCAGGCCAAAUUCAUUAAUGAGUAUGUUGUAAAAUCCAUAAGAGUACUGAUAUGGCUGGAAGAAUCGCUGAAGAAGUUCUUAAGCUUAAUCCUCGGGAUGCGGCUCCUUAUGUGUUGUUUUCUAACAUUCAUGCUUCUGCUAAGAGGUGGCAGGGUGUUUCCGAGUUGAGAGAGGCCAUGAGAGAGAGGAAUGUGAAGAAGGAACCAGGUGUAAGCUGGUUAGAAAUAAAGAAUCAAGUUCAUCAGUUUACCAUGGGCGACAAAUCUCAUCCAAGUUCGAUGGAGAUUGAUUUGUAUUUGGAAGAACUAACAUCAGAGAUGAAGCUACGGGGCUAUGUCCCUGAUACGGGCGCUGAUAUGCAUGACAUGGACAAUGAGGAAAAGGAAUAUAAUUUGAAACACCAUAGUGAAAAGCUUGCAAUUGCGUUUGCUCUGAUGAACACACCCACGGGUGUACCAAUAAGGGUGAUGAAGAACUUGCGCGUCUGCAGUGAUUGCCAUGUUGCUAUUAAGUACAUUUCAGAAAUUAAAAACAGAGAAAUUAUUGUUCGAGAUGCCAGUAGAUUUCAUCAUUUCAGAAAUGGGAAAUGCUCUUGUGGAGAUUACUGGUAAGAAGAUGACUCUUUGCUCUCAUAGUUGUAAACUCUACUUCCAAAAGAUUGGUUUUGUAAACUUUAAAUCAAAAAGGAAAUAAAAGAGUAUUCAUACUUCUUUGAUUACCAAUUUCAAGCUGAAUUAGGAAAAGUCCUUUUCUUUUCUUUGUGAUGUUUUUCCAUAUCCAGAAAAUUGAUUAUGAAAUUUACAAACAUACUUAAUUUGUUUUGAAUUAUUAAAUUUAGUCAAAUAUAAGAAUCGGGUUUAGACCAGUUCUAUUACACGGCAGACCGAAUGUUUGAACUCAUUUAGAGCGGUCUAAGCAUUUUUUUAAAUAAUAGUUUGACUCAAAUAAUAAUUUAUUUAGAUUAUGCCCAAAAGCUGUGAAGAAAAUAAGGCUGUAGGUUGUCUUCAAUCUUAAAAUGUUAAUUGACCUGUUAGGCCAAGCAUGCAUGGGAAAGUCUGAUAUCAGUUUCAGUUGCUUUCUAGAUUUUACUUUUAUAUGUUUGCUUUUGUGGAAGUCAUAAACGCUUCGUCAAAGUCUCAAAGACGUGUUGGACAAUAAUUAUAGCUGGCAAAUGGCAAUCACGACUCUUCCAAGAAAUAAUCAUGAAAGGAUACAAAUUUAAUAUUGAAUAAGUCUUCCAUUAAAUUAAAUGUAACUUGAAAGAUUGUCUACUUAGUAUUCCCUGAUUGUAUGAAUCCUUAAGAUGAUAUGCAUAUAUUAUGUCCAUUUUUUAGUGUGUGAUGUUGCUCAUGUGAGAUAUUAAUACGCGAACACGUCGUUUGCGUAUUAAAUUUAGUAUUUAAGCACUAUCAUUCACUAGUUAUUGUGUGUUCAUCGCACGCGCACGCACACACAAGAUGCAUCGAUGCACACUAUUAGGAGACAAUUUGUGUUAGAUCGACAAUUUCCCAAUGUUUUACCGCCACAAAUUUUGUGUUACACUUCAUAAUAAAUAUAUGUUAAAUUGAGUAACGUUACACCUUUUCAAGUUUUGUGUUAUACUUCACAAAAUGGUCAUUCUAAUUCCAUGUGAUAUUUCUCAACAUUUUUAUCACAUGUCGUACAACGAAAACAAAAAUCACAGCAAAGUUGGAGCCGAAAGAACAUACUGAGACAUGAAUAUACUUUUCCAUGAAUCAUCGAAUAGAGACGAAUGAUAUUUAUGUAGCUUGCUUGACUUAAAAUGUCUUCGUGACCCUUUUUUCUCAUCUCUCUCACCCAAUUCCAAACACACAGAUCAUGGCUAGCUGCAGCCUCCACUGCUUGUUUCCCAUUCUCUCCGUUCUUAUUAGCGUACACAUCGUCCCAACUUCGGCUGCAACAACGGGAAAUUGUUCCGUAAGGGCCAGCAACAUUUACUGUUUGGAUUCAGGCCUUCCCUCUACAUGGUACAACAACAACUCUGUCAUCAUGAAUGGAUGGCAGAUGAGAGUAUUCCUCUUAUUACAGGACGCCGGUGAUUUUGAUUUUUAUUGUGGGUUUUACUGCAAUGGCACCUGCAACUCUUAUGUUUUUUCAGUUGUUGCCGUUAGAGAAAACGAUCACAGAGUGGUCUGGUCAGCUAACAAAGACCGCCCGGUAAAAGCAAACGCGAUGGUGCAGCUAAAGACGGACGGUUUGGUGCUGAGAGAUUCGGAUGGCACCCAGAUAUGGGCGAGCAACCACUCAGGUAACUCCGUUCACUGGAUGAACCUUGACCCGGAUGGAAAUCUUUCUCUCUUUAACAAUGAAAGCAAAAUAAUUUGGAAAUCCUCAGCAGAAAAGAUAUCACUGAGUCCACCAAAUCCCUCCAUCACUCCAAACGGAACAUUAACACCAGAAGGAAAAGCACCACCACCUGUAACGGGCAUAGCACCAACAGAAGAGAACAUGCCAAAAUCACCCAAAAAAAGAGGAACAAAAUUGGUGGUGGUAGCAGGAGGAUCAACCGCUGGUGGGCUUCUGAUUCCCUACAUCACUCCAAACGGAACAUUAACACCAGAAGGAAAUGCAGCCUACAUCACUCCAACAUACAUCACUCCAACAAACCGAACAUCAACACCAGACGGAAAUGCACCCUACAUCUCUCCAACAUACAUCACUCCAACAAACGGAACAUCAACACCAGAAGGAAAUGUACCCUACAUCACUCCAACAAACGGAACAUUAGCACCAGAAGGAAAUGUACCCUACAUCACUCCAACAAACGGAACAUUAGCACCAGAAGGAAAUGUACCCUACAUCACUCCAACAAACGGAACAUUAGCACCAGAAGGAAAUGUACCCUACAUCACUCCAACAAACGGAACAUUAGCACCAGAAGGAAAUGUACCCUACAUCACUCCAACAAACGGAACAUUAGCACCAGAAGGAAAUGUACCCUACAUCACUCCAACAAACGGAACAUUAGCACCAGAAGGAAAUGUACCCUACAUCACUCCAACAAACGGAACAUUAGCACCAGAAGGAAAUGUACCCUACAUCACUCCAACAAACGGAACAUUAGCACCAGAAGGAAAUGUACCCUACAUCACUCCAACAAACGGAACAUUAGCACCAGAAGGAAAUGCACCACCACCUGCGACAGGCAUAGCACCAACAGAAGAGAACAGGCCAAAAUCACCCAAAAAAGGACGAACAAAAUUGGUGGCGGUAGUAGCAGGAUCAACCGCUGGUGGGCUUCUGAUUAUCUGUAUUGUAAUUGUGUUGUAUAUUGUGAAAGUUCGGAGGAACGUAGGGGAGGAGGAACAUUUGGAAGAUGACAUGAAACAAGUUCCUGGAUUACCUGUGAGGUUUUCAUAUGAAGAUUUACAGAUUGCGACAGAAGAUUUUAAAGAGAGAAUUGGAGGAGGGGGGUUUGGAACUGUGUUCAAGGGGGUUUUAAAAGACGGCAGUAAAAUUGCUGUAAAGCGUCUGGAUAGAAUGGAGCAGGGGAUGAGGGAGUUCGUAGCAGAAGUUGAGACAAUCGGUAGCUUGCAUCAUUUCAAUCUUGUGAGAUUGAUUGGCUUUUGCGUAGAGAAAUCCUGCAGGCUUCUUGUUUAUGAGUACAUGAGCAAUGGCUCCUUGGAAAAAUGGAUUUUUGUCAGAGAUCCGAGACCUUGUCUUGACUGGCAAACUAGGAAGAAAAUAAUACUUGAUGUAGCCAAAGGAUUGACUUAUCUGCAUGAAGAUUGCCGGAGAAGAGUGGCACAUCUUGAUAUAAAGCCACAAAAUAUUCUCUUGGACGAAAAUUUCAAUGCCAAGGUUUCUGAUUUUGGGUUGGCUCAGCUAAUCGAGAGAGACGAGAGCCUAGUGCAGGCAACAAUGAGAGGAACUCCAGGAUACAUUGCUCCGGAAUGGAGGAAAUCAAAAAUCAGUGUCAAAGUUGACAUAUAUAGCUUUGGAAUUGUACUUCUUGAAGUGGUCAGUGCUCGGAGAAACUUAGAUCGUUCGCGAUCAGAAUCUAGCUGCCAUCUCCUCAGACUGCUGCAGGAGAAGGCCAAGGAGGACAGACUGUUUGACAUCGUGGAAAGUUUCGGCGAAGAGGUGGAAAAUCAUAGGGAUGAAAUGAUAAGAAUGAUUAAGAUUGGAGCCUGGUGUUUGCAGAAUGAUCCCGGAAAACGGCCGUCAAUGUCAACCGUGGUGAAGGUGUUGGAAGGAGUAAUGGAAGUAGAUGCAAACAUCAAUUACAAAUUUGCACAAGCAAUGCCAUAUGUUUCCAUUGUCAAUAGUGAUCAUGUCUCCUCCAGGCCAACAGAAUCUGUUCUUUCUAAUCCUAGAUGAACAUUCAUUUUCAGGCACGUUCAUCAUUGAGAUUUGAGUGCAGGCCAAAUUCAUUAAUGAGUAUGUGAUCCACUGUUUUGUGUUCAUGAGAUUUGAUUUUUAAGCUUGUUUUGAGUUCUGUUAAUUGUACAUUGUGCCAUUUUUCUCCUUUGGCAUUUCAGUAUAAUAUGCCGGAUAUGCUUCAUUUUUUUUUCCUCUCUCACAAUCUGUUAGAAUUGUAAUGGAGAAAAAGAACCAGCAUUUUAUAUUUGUCACUUGAGUCAAGGAUUCAAGCUUACUCAUCACUUCAGCUGUGCAAUAAAUAUUACAUUUAGCUUUGAUAUUGCAAGCAGAAGCAGAGUAACAAGGAAAAGAAAAACUGGUAGUAGCAAUAGGCAAUUAAAUUUAUAGGAACAAACUUAAACCGAAGAGAAAUAGUAAAAAAGGAACUAAAAUGAAUCCAGAAGAAAGAAAAUAUGCAAAACAGUUUCAUGUUUGUAGGAGGAAUAAACAUUAAUACUUUGCUGCCAAAACAAGACACUCUGCGCAAUUAACAUCCUUUACUUGUUGACAAAUUAUUUCUAAUCUCUAUGUAAAUGUCAUUAAUAAACGGAUGUGCAUAUGCGAGGGUAAAAUUGACUUUGCAUUCAGAUUUCUCAAAAAUUAUAAUACAAAAUUUAGGGGAUCUUGAUAAUUAUUUUCUCAAAUUUUAGGAAGUAUAACUAUUCUUUUCCUUAAAAUUCGAAGAGAAAAAAAAAACUAUUUUUCAACCCCAAAUAUUCAUCUACUAAUUUUUUUAGGGCAUUAUAAGUGUCUAUUUGAUAUGACUUAUCUAAUGACCACAACCAAGUGCUUAUUUAAUCUCAUAAACUCUUAUCAUAAUUUUUGUUGUUAUUUGGUUUUUUUUAGAGCUUUUAGAGCUUAAAUAAAUUAUUUUUCUCUACUAGUAAAAGCCCAAAUUUUAGAUUUUUGGGAAUUGAGGUUGAAAUUUUUUUUUAAAAUGUUAAAAUAUCCAAAAUAUUUUUUUAUUUAUUUGACAAUAUUAUUUUAUUUUUUCAUAAGAUAACUUAAAAAACUUACCCAUUAAAAUAAUUUCAUAAAUUUUUAAUAAAAACUCUUAUUGACUAUGAAAAAAUUAAAAUUUUUUAAAUGAAAGCUUCAUUUGUAAAAAUUUUAUUACCAAAAACUCCACUUAAAUAAAUUCUGUUUGAAAAAUUAUACUAAAUAGAGUCUAAAUCUUUGAUUCUCCGUUAAAAAAAGAAACAAAAAGAAAAUAAUUUUUAUGUAAUGUCCUUUUAAUUUAUUGAAAGAUAAAAUUGUAAUUUAAAAGUCAGUUAACUGUGGAAACAAGACUGUAACAAGAUAUUUAUCAAGCAAAUAAAUGAACCAUUAGGAUAAAAGAAGGAGAGAUUUUACUUUAUCACUACAUGGAUACAAAAGUUAAUUACCAGAGUGAAGGAGGAAAAAAAAUCUAUAUCAAAAUUAAUUAUAAAGAUUUGCAGAGAUUUGUUGAAAAAGAAAGUGGAUCAAUAUACAAGUGGUGGGAGUUACUUUUCGGUAUUAUUUAGAAGGCUCUUGCUAGAUUCUUGAUCUUGCCAACCCAAAUCCAAAUCACUUCUUGCCCAAACAGGUAAUUUAAUAAUCCUGUUUUUGCCUUCUCCGUCAAUUAUUCCUCCAACAAUUUUCAAUAAAAUUUAGGCAUUUUUUUUUCCUUUUUGCAGAUGGUAACCACAUUUGGAAUGUCUGAAAUUGGCCCAUGGUCGCUCGUGGACGGAUCACAGAGUGGUGAUGUCAUCAUGAGAAUGAUGGCAAGGAACUCAAUGUCUGAGAAGCUUGCUGCAGACAUCGAUGCCGCAGUCAAGAGACUAUCAGACCGUGCUUAUGAGAUUGCGUUGAGCCAAAUAAGGAACAACCGUGAAGCCAUUGACAAGAUCGUGGAAGUUCUUCUUGAGAAGGAAACGAUGUCAGGGGAUGAAUUCCGGGCAAUCCUCUCAGAGUUUGUCGAAAUCCC
rnacentral:lncRNA from 1 species